UACGUAGGGUGCGAGCGUUAAUCGGAAUUACUGGGCGUAAAGCGUGCGCAGGCGGUGACCCAAGUCAGAUGUGAAAUCCCCGGGCUUAACCUGGGAAUGGCAUUUUGAACUGGCAGUCUAGAGUGUGUCAGAGGGGGGUGGAAUUCCACGUGUAGCAGUGAAAUGCGUAGAUAUGUGGAGGAACACCAAUGGCGAAGGCAGCCCCCUGGGAUAACGCUGACGCUCAUGUACGAAAGCGUGGGUAGCAAACAGGAUUAGAUACCCGGGUAGU
rnacentral:rRNA from 1 species